GACGAACGCUGGCGGCGUGCUUAACACAUGCAAGUCGAACGGAAAGGCCCUGCGCUUGCGGGGUGCUCGAGUGGCGAACGGGUGAGUAACACGCGAGUAACCUGCCCUUGACUUUGGGAUAACUCCAGGAAACUGGGGCUAUUACCGGAUAGGAGCUCCUGCUGCAUGGUGGGGGUUGGAAAGUUUCGGCGGUUCGGGAUGGUCUCGCUGCUUAUCAGCUUGAUGGUCGGGUAGUGGAUUUCCAAGGCUUUGACGGGUAGCCGGCCUGAGAGGGUUACCGGGCACAUUGGGACUGCGAGACGGCGCAGACGGCUACGGGAGGCAGCGGUGGGGAACAUUGCACAAUGGGGGGAAGUCUGAUACAGCAACGCCGCGAGCGGGAUGACGGGUUUCGGGUUGUAAACAGCUUUCGCCGGAGACGAGGCGUGAGUGACGGUAAUGGGUAAAGAAGCACCGGCUAACUACGUG
rnacentral:rRNA from 1 species